rnacentral:rRNA from 1 species
GAUGAACGCUGGCGGCGUGCUUAACACAUGCAAGUCGAACGGGAUCCCAGGAGCUUGCUCCUGGGUGAGAGUGGCGAACGGGUGAGUAAUGCGUGACCGACCUGCCCCAUACACCGGAAUAGCUCCUGGAAACGGGUGGUAAUGCCGGAUGCUCCAGUUGACCGCAUGGUCCUCUGGGAAAGCUUUUGCGGUAUGGGAUGGGGUCGCGUCCUAUCAGCUUGAUGGCGGGGUAACGGCCCACCAUGGCUUCGACGGGUAGCCGGCCUGAGAGGGCGACCGGCCACAUUGGGACUGAGAUACGGCCCAGACUCCUACGGGAGGCAGCAGUGGGGAAUAUUGCACAAUGGGCGCAAGCCUGAUGCAGCGACGCCGCGUGCGGGAUGACGGCCUUCGGGUUGUAAACCGCUUUUGACUGGGAGCAAGCCCUUCGGG